AUGAAAUGAAAAGAGGAAAAGUAAAAGGAGAAACGAAGGGAUAGAAGACGACAAUCUUAUAGUUUGAGGAGUCCAGAUAAAAACGCGCCAAAUCAACAAACCCUCCCAGUUCCAUACUAAAUUUGCCCUCACUUCCACCAUCGCCAUCACCUGUUACAAAUUUACAAUGGGCAAGCAAAAACAGCAAGUAAUAUCCCGCUUCUUCGCUCCCAAAUCCAAAAUCCCAUCGAGUCCUGCUCCUCCUUCGUCUUCUUCUUCAACCCCCCCUCCAAAAAUCUCAGCCACAGUCACUUUCUCUCCCUCCAAACGCCGCCGUACCUCCCGACUCUCCUCCCCAAAUUCCAAACCCUCAAAGCUCCCCAAACUCUCCCCCCACACCCACAAUGCCAUCCCCCCUCUCCCGAACCCCUCCCUCCACGAAAAAUUCCUCCACCGACUACUAGAACCUUCCACAACAUCUUCAGAACUGUCAUCUCAAAACCCGAAACCAAACCCGACCAAAUACACCCCCUUAGAACUACAAGUCGUGGACCUUAAAAAUAAAUACCCUGAUGUUCUUUUGAUGGUGGAAGUUGGUUACAAGUUCCGGUUUUUUGGUGAGGAUGCCGAAAUUGCGGCAAGGGAGUUGGGGAUAUAUGCCCAUUUGGAUCAUAGCUUUAUGACGGCGAGCGUGCCUACUUUUCGAUUAAAUGUCCAUGUGAGGAGGCUUGUGAGUGCUGGGUAUAAGGUUGGUGUGGUGAAGCAGACCGAGACCGCUGCAAUUAAGGCGCACGGGGAGAACCGGCUGGGCCCCUUUUGCCGGGGGUUAUCGGCAUUGUACACUAAGGCGACGCUAGAGGCAGCCGAGGAUAUGGGGGGAGGGGAGGAGGGGUGGGGGGGAGAGAGUAAUUAUUUGGUUUGUGUGAUGGAGAAGGGUGUGCUAGAAAAGAAUUUGGAGUGUGGAGUGGAGAGUGGGUUUGACGUGACAAUCGGGAUGGUUGCGGUGGAGAUAUCUACGGGAGACGUUGUUUAUGCGGAGUUCAACGAUAAUUUUAUGAGGUAUGCGCUUGAGGCUGUGGUUUUAAGCUUGUCACCUGCAGAGUUGCUUCUUGGGAAGCCUCUCUCUCAGCAAACGGAGAAGUUGUUACUUGCUUAUGCUGGACCCUCUUCAAAUGUUCGUGUGGAGCAUGCCUCAGGAGAAUGCUUCAUAGAUGGAGGUGCACUUGCUGAAGUGAUGUCUUUAUACGAGAACACGAGUGAAGAUAAUUUAGUAGAUCAUCCAUAUCAUGCAAAACAAAGCACGAAGGUCACAGAGCAGGGAAACCAUCGCCUGACAAUUGAGGGGAUUAUGAACAUGCCAGAUUUGGCUGUCCAAGCAUUGGCCUUAACCAUUCGGCAUCUAAAGCAAUUUGGUUUUGAGAGAAUCUUGUGCCUGGGAGCUUCAUUUAGGCCCUUCUCAAGCAAAAUGGAGAUGACCUUCUCAGCCAAUGCACUUCAACAAUUGGAGGUUUUGAAGAACAGCACCGAUGGAUCCGAGUCCGGCUCCUUGCUGCAGUUCAUGAAUCAUACUCUUACUAUCUAUGGGUCAAGACUUCUUAGGCACUGGGUAGCGCACCCUUUAUGUGAUAGAAACAUGAUUUCUGCUCGUCUUGAUGCUGUUUCUGAGAUUGCAGAAUCGAUGGGGUCUUCUAGGGCUUCGCAAAAUAUUCAAGGGUUAGAUGGGGAAAAUUCUGAUACCACAGUUGUACAACCUGAGUUUACUUAUCUACUUUCUUCAGUUUUGACAAUGUUGGGGAGGUCACCCGAUAUUCAACGUGGUAUAACAAGAGUCUUCCACCGGACUGCCACCCCGUCCGAGUUCAUUGCAGUCAUCCAAGCUAUUCUAUGUGCUGGAAAACAACUUCAGAAAAUUCACCUUGAAGAAGAGGAUAACGUCAAAAAUAUGCGAGCCAAUACUGUGUACUCCAAGCUGUUGAAAAAGUUGAUUUUGACUGCUUCAUCAUCCAUUGUAAUUGGCAGUGCUGUGAAAUUGUUGUCUACCCUUAACAAAGAAGCAGCUGAUCAAAGAGAUCUAAAAAAUUUAAUUAGCACUUCUAAUGGUCAAUUUCCUGAGGUUUCUAGAGCCCAAAAAGAGGUUCAUAUGGCACAGGAGAAAUUGGAUUCUCUGAUUGAUUUGUAUCGCAAGCAGCUUGGAAUGCGCAAAUUGGAAUUCAUGAAUGUGUCUGGAACAACACAUUUAAUAGAGUUGCCCGUAGAUGUGAAGGUACCCUUGAAUUGGGUUAAGGUAAAUAGUACCAAAAAAACAAUACGCUAUCACCCACUGGAAGUGUUGACUGCUUUAGACCAGUUAUUGCUGGCAAAUGAGAAGCUGACAGUUGCCUGCCGAGCUGCUUGGGAUAGCUUUCUAAGGGAAUUUGGUAAAUAUUAUGCUGACUUUCAAGCUGCUGUUCAAGCGCUGGCUACUUUGGAUUGUCUGCAUUCCCUUGCCAUUCUUUCCAGAAAUAAGAAUUAUGUUCGUCCAGUUUUUGUCUAUGAAGAUGAACCUGUUCAAGUACACAUCUCUUCUGGUCGUCAUCCAGUUUUGGAAACUAUGUUACAAGACAAUUUUGUUCCAAAUGACACGAAUUUGAAUGCAGACGGUGAGUAUUGUCAGAUUGUUACUGGACCCAACAUGGGUGGAAAGAGUUGCUACAUUCGCCAAGUUGCUCUCAUUGCCAUCAUGGCUCAGGUUGGUUCCUUUGUACCAGCAUCAUCGGCAAAACUCCAUGUGCUAGAUGGUAUCUACACCCGAAUGGGUGCUUCUGACAGUAUCCAACAAGGGAGAAGCACCUUUCUAGAAGAGUUAAGUGAGGCUUCAAAUAUACUCCACAAUUGCACAGCACGUUCAUUGGUUAUCAUUGAUGAACUCGGGAGAGGCACAAGCACACAUGAUGGUGUAGCUAUUGCUUAUGCUACAUUGCAUUAUAUGCUAGAGCAGAAAAGGUGCAUGGUUCUCUUUGUCACCCACUACCCUAAAAUUGUGGAUAUUAGAAAUGAAUUUCCUGGCUCUGUGGGGGCAUACCAUGUUUCAUAUUUGACUUCACAUGAAGACAUGGAUAUAGAAAACUCAAAAUCUGAUCAUGAAGAUGUGACUUACCUAUAUAAGCUUGUGACUGGCGUUUCAGAGAGUAGUUUUGGUUUUAAGGUUGCACAGCUUGCACAGCUACCUUCAACAUGUAUUAGUCGAGCCAUUAUCAUGGGUUCCAGGUUAGAAGCACUUGUAAACAACAGGGCAGGAAGUAGAUUGGGAAAAAAGCAUCUCCUUGAGAAACUCCUUAUUGAUAAUGACCCACAAACACAAAAGAAAAUGUUGGAAACUCCAGAGUGCUUCCGUCCUGGAGGGACAUGGGAUUUAGAAGACGUCAAUGUUGCAUACAAGGGAUUCUUUUUUAGCUUGAAAGCAGCAGUAUCUGAUGAUGAAGUUGCAAGAAGCAUCCAGCUUUUAAAUGCUAGAAGCAUUGCAAAGGAUCUAGUAAGCAGUCGGUGACUCGGUGGGGAGAAGGGUACUGGGGACUAGCAUCAUAUAGGAUGCACCUUAUCAAAUUUAUUUUCCAAGGUACAAGGCCAUUCCUGAAAGUGUUUUUGAGAUGGCAUGUCUCAUUCUACGGCAAGGAGAGCUAACAGUAUAGCAAUGGGGGCAGAGUUCACGUGAAAUUCUUCAAUUUUGUAGGUAAUAGUUUUGUGUUAAAAAUGUCUUUGGAGAUGGCAUACAUCAUUCUACUCCAUUUCUGUUGCCUCUUUCCGUCCUCUCUCUCAUUCAUUUCUAUUUCAUAUCCAUGUGAGUUAUCAUUUGAUGUAAAUAUCACAAGACUCCGAUGUAACCCGAAAAUGUAAUUGGUGAAACUUAAAUGUAAAUUAGUAUAUGCAACAGAAAAAAGGGGAAUUCCUUCUUCAUUUCUCUCAUUUUCUUUUUGGGAGGGAAAAAGAAGUUGUAGCAUA